rnacentral:rRNA from 2 species
UACGGAGGGGGCUAGCGUUGUUCGGAAUUACUGGGCGUAAAGCGCACGUAGGCGGACGGAGAAGUCAGAGGUGAAAUCCCAGGGCUCAACCUUGGAACUGCCUUUGAAACUUUCUGUCUUGAGGUCGAGAGAGGUGAGUGGAAUUCCGAGUGUAGAGGUGAAAUUCGUAGAUAUUCGGAGGAACACCAGUGGCGAAGGCGGCUCACUGGCUCGAUACUGACGCUGAGGUGCGAAAGCGUGGGGAGCAAACAGG